CGCCCGGCAUCCAUUCGCCCGCUGCUUUCAAGUCCCGGGUUGGUUGGGCGGGCAGCGGAAUGGGGUGCGUGGAUUGGCCGAGCGCAGGAGAGAGCUGGGUGCUGAUUGGGCGGGCUUGGUAAAGGCCUCGGUCUCAGACCGGCUGAGCGCUGAGAGGAGAGGGGACCUCGGGCAAGACUCCGGGCCCGCAUGAUUGGCUGGGGUACUAGACGUUGAUAGGCCAGGGCGCCCGGGAGAAUUGGGGAGAAGAGUUCGGGGUCGGGGCCUCGGAAAGGCGGGAGGUGCCCCGCCGCUUCAGGAGCCCGGCGCGGGGCAGGAUGGGACGCCCCCGGGAAGGGGCGGAGCCGUGUCCCGGCUGCGGUUGGGGAAGCGCCGUCCCUCGGAGGGGCGUGUUGAGGGUUUCGCGGGCUUGAGCGGGGGGUUGGGGGCGGGGGGUGGAGGGCGUUAAAGGCUUGCACCGCGCCCACAGGAAGCUGCUUUAAUGGCUGGGCCUCCUUGGCAGCGGGCUCGCGGCAGGGCAGGACCUUGAAGACCACGCGGUUCAACUUCCAGUUUGCAGAUGUGGAAACGGAAGUCCAGAGAGGGUAUGCCACCGGCGCAAGGUUACACAGCUGGUUAGUGGCCUGCUCGGGCCUGGACCCCCGCGCUCCGGACUGCCCUUGGCCUUGCACCCAGCUUCCCCCUUCGAGGAGGGUGAUGUCCCCGACCACGCCCCUCCAGUGGGGAAGACUAAACCUGAGGCUGUUUCUUCCUGAGCAAGGCUGACCUCCUUGGCCUCAUUUGCGAUUAGGAAGAAUGGGAGGAAAAGGGAUAGGGAGAAUGUUUGAAGGAUGUAAUGGCCAGGACCCUGCAGCACCGGCACAACCAAACCUCUAUGAACCAUUUCCUGAACUCAGGAAACUACUGGAGAUGUGGUGCACAAAACGAGAGAAUAAACCAAGAAUCAGGAAGACAUGUGGUCCUAGAGACAGGAUAUUCAACAUAGGUGAGAAAUGGGAGAGAAUCCCCAAGAUGAUGACCACGGGAAAUCCUAGGGUGACAGACGCCUGGCCUAGAGAGUGAUCAGUCAGGAUUGGGGCAGGAGGACAGAAGGCACCAGAAUGGAUGUCCCCAAGAAAUAAAAUGAGAUGAAUAGAGGAAACAUGUACACUUUGGGUGAUAGUGGAGAAUAAAUUCAUUAUAGGGACAUGGAAAACUAAACAAAUAAAAACCAAUUUGUUAUUAAUAAUUCUAAAAAUUUGAUUUUUUUAAUAAACUGAAAAAGAAAGAAAGAAAGCUUAAUUAUAGAAGACUAAAUAACUUGGCUGUGCAUGGUCUUUAUGGAGGCAUAAUUGUGUAAACAGUAUAUGGAUGGAUCUCCCCUAAUCCCAGCAUCCUGGGCUUGCUCCUUGCAGUCUGCAUUCCAGCCAGCAGGGGCUGGCUCCCUGUUCUAACUAUUCUGGGUUUCUUUUGGUUAAACAGGAAUUGAUUUAAUUACAUUCUAUUGGAAAAUUAAUACAUUAAGAAAUUGUUGAAUUAAAAUAUCAAUAACAAAAAUGGGUCUAAGCAAAAGGCUGUGGACAAAACUACACACACACACUUUGCCCCCCCAUUUUUGUACUAAACACCCGUAAAAGAUCGUCUGGAGCUUUAAACUUGCGUCUGCUAACUAAUUGGAGAACUUUGAUUUACCCAAACGAUAUAUACCCAACCUUCGUCCUCUUAUGGGGAAGUUAAGUUGUGCGUAUUUGAAUCCAGCAUAUGUUAGAUUGACCCUUACCACAUUAUAUUGCAAGUUUUUUGUGUUUGUUUUUUUUCUAGUUCCGUUUUCUUUUUAUUCACUAGCCUGUUCUCAGUUCAAGAGCAAGUUCCUGUUUUUUCCCUCUGCAAGGUUCUGGCACCUAACACAG